CCUACGGGUGGCUGCAGUGGGGAAUAUUGGACAAUGGGCGAAAGCCUGAUCCAGCCAUGCCGCGUGUGUGGAGAAGGCCUUCGGGUUGUAAAGCACUUUCAGUGGGGAAGAAAGCCUUGGGGCUAAUACCCUCGAGGAAGGACAUCACCCACAGAAGAAGCACCGGCUAACUCCGUGCCAGCAGCCGCGGUAAUACGGAGGGUGCGAGCGUUAAUCGGAAUUACUGGGCAUAAAGCGCGCGUAGGCGGUCUGAUAAGCCGGUUGUGAAAGCCCCGGGCUCAACCUGGGAACGGCAUCCGGAACGGUCAGGCUAGAGUGCAGGAGAGGAAGGUAGAAUUCCCGGUGUAGCGGUGAAAUGCGUAGUGAUCGGGAGGAAUACCAGUGGCGAAGGCGGCCUUCUGGACUGACACUGACGCUGGGGUGCGAAAGCGUGGGUAGCAAACAGGAUUAGAUACCCGAGUAGUC
rnacentral:rRNA from 1 species